GAUGAACGCUGGCGGCGUGCUUAACACAUGCAAGUCGAACGAUGAAGCCCAGCUUGCUGGGUGGAUUAGUGGCGAACGGGUGAGUAACACGUGAGUAACCUGCCCUUAACUCUGGGAUAAGCCUGGGAAACUGGGUCUAAUACCGGAUAGGAGCGCCUACCGCAUGGUGGGUGUUGGAAAGAUUUAUCGGUUUUGGAUGGACUCGCGGCCUAUCAGCUUGUUGGUGAGGUAAUGGCUCACCAAGGCGACGACGGGUAGCCGGCCCGAGAGGGUGACCGGCCACACUGGGACUGAGACACGGCCCAGACUCCUACGGGAGGCAGCAGUGGGGAAUAUUGCACAAUGGGCGAAAGCCUGAUGCAGCGACGCCGCGUGAGGGAUGACGGCCUUCGGGUUGUAAACCUCUUUCAGUAGGGAAGAAGCGAAAGUGACGGUACCUGCAGAAGAAGCACCGGCUAACUACGUG
rnacentral:rRNA from 1 species